AGUGAACGCUGGCGGUAGGCCUAACACAUGCAAGUCGAACGGCAGCACAGUAAGAGCUUGCUCUUACGGGUGGCGAGUGGCGGACGGGUGAGGAAUACAUCGGAAUCUACUUUUUCGUGGGGGAUAACGUAGGGAAACUUACGCUAAUACCGCAUACGACCUACGGGUGAAAGCAGGGGAUCUUCGGACCUUGCGCGAUUGAAUGAGCCGAUGUCGGAUUAGCUAGUUGGCGGGGUAAAGGCCCACCAAGGCGACGAUCCGUAGCUGGUCUGAGAGGAUGAUCAGCCACACUGGAACUGAGACACGGUCCAGACUCCUACGGGAGGCAGAAGUGGGGAAUAUUGGACAAUGGGCGCAAGCCUGAUCCAGCCAUACCGCGUGGGUGAAGAAGGCCUUCGGGUUGUAAAGCCCUUUUGUUGGGAAAGAAAAGCAGCAGGUUAAUACCCCGCUGUUCUGACGGUACCCAAAGAAUAAGCACCGGCUAACUUCG
rnacentral:rRNA from 1 species